UGCAAGUGCACAUACAGAGAAAGAGACUAAGAAAGCAACCAUACGUUUGCUUAGAACAAUAAUCCUUCUCAGUCAGACUUUGGCAUCACUACCAGAUGAUGUGAUGAUGACGAUGAAACUGUUGUAUUAUGAUGAAGGUAAAUGUAAUCCGAUAAUUUUUUGGGGCGUUCCC